rnacentral:snoRNA from 1 species
AUUCCGUAAUGAGGGCACUUUCGUAAUAACUCUUUGAAUCUUUCCCAUGCCUCAUACAAGGACUCAUCAUCCAUUUGUUGGAAAGCAGUAAUCUCAUUUCUCAGCUU